ACAAGCCUGAGAAACGGCUAGUAGGACUAAGGUCUGCAGCAGGCGCGAAACUUACACAAUGCUAGAUUACAAUUAGCGAUGUAGUGAAGAAAAAUAACGAUGUACUUCCAUUUAAACAUGGUAGUACAAUUGGAAUGAGACGACUAUAAAUGAGUUAGUCGAGUAACAAAUGGAGGGCAAGUCUGGUGCCAGCAGCCGCGGUAAUUCCAGCUCCAUUAGCAUACAUUAAAGUUGUUGCGGUUAAAAAGCUCGUAGUUGAAUUUUAGGCGGGCUCUAUUGGGUCCCAACCGUUACGGCGCAGCGCAACAUGGUUCGCCCAGUCGCCUGUUGCUGGUUGGCGGCUCCAUUAGGAACCCGCUGUUUCGUCACUUAAUCGAGUGCGAAGCGGGCUGGCACGGUACCAACUCCGGUUGGGUCAUCGUUUCAGCAUGUUUACCUUGAGAAAAUUAGAGUGCUCACAGCAGGCAGUUGGGGUGUAAAAGCUCCUUUAUGCUUGAAUAAUGUUGCAUGGAAUAAUAGAAUACGGCCUCGGUUCUAUUCUGUUGGUCUUAUAGAACAACAAACAAGUUGGUUAAAGCGACCAAAAAGUUCGCUUGCGAGUGUGGCUCGGCCGGUUAUGUUGCCUGGGAGGUAAAAGUUUCAGCGCCUUGCCGGUCGCGCCAUCAAAAGCACUCCUUGCGGGCUAGCUUUCUAAUCAACUGAGGCAAUGGUUAAAAGAAAUAGUCGCGGCGGCAUCAGUACUGCAUCGUGAGAG
rnacentral:rRNA from 1 species